CCUACGGGUGGCAGCAGUGAGGAAUAUUGGUCAAUGGACGAGAGUCUGAACCAGCCAAGUCGCGUGAAGGAUGACUGCUCUAUGGGUUGUAAACUUCUUUUAUAUGGGAAUAAAAUGUUCCACGUGUGGGUUUUUGUAUGUACCAUAUGAAUAAGCAUCGGCUAACUCCGUGCCAGCAGCCGCGGUAAUACGGAGGAUCCGAGCGUUAUCCGGAUUUAUUGGGUUUAAAGGGAGCGUAGGUGGAUUGUUAAGUCAGUGGUGAAAGUUUGUGGCUCAACCGUAAAAUUGCAGUUGAAACUGGCAGUCAUGAGUACAGUAGAGGUGGGCGGAAUGCGUGGUGUAGCGGUGAAAUGCUUAGAUAUCACGAAGAACUCCGAUUGCGAAGGCAGCUCACUAGACUGCAACUGACACUGAGGCUCGAAAGUGUGGGUAUCAAACAGGAUUAGAUACCCCUGUAGUC
rnacentral:rRNA from 1 species